rnacentral:tRNA from 1 species
GCCCCGUACACCAGCACCGGCCUUCUAAGCCGGUACGUAAAAAGCUGGAAGGACGUGAGAGGUUCGAUUCCUCUACGGGGUGCCA